AGUGAACGCUGGCGGUAGGCCUAACACAUGCAAGUCGAACGGCAGCACAGUAAGAGCUUGCUCUUACGGGUGGCGAGUGGCGGACGGGUGAGGAAUACAUCGGAAUCUACUUUUUCGUGGGGGAUAACGUAGGGAAACUUACGCUAAUACCGCAUACGACCUACGGGUGAAAGCAGGGGCUCUUCGGACCUUGCGCGAUUGAAUGAGCCGAUGUCGGAUUAGCUAGUUGGCGGGGUAAAGGCCCACCAAGGCGACGAUCCGUAGCUGGUCUGAGAGGAUGAUCAGCCACACUGGAACUGAGACACGGUCCAGACUCCUACGGGAGGCAGCAGUGGGGAAUAUUGGACAAUGGGCGCAAGCCUGAUCCAGCCAUACCGCGUGGGUGAAGAAGGCCUUCGGGUUGUAAAGCCCUUUUGUUGGGAAAGAAAAGCAGCAGGUUAAUACCCCGCUGUUCUGACGUUACCCAAAGAAUAAGCACCGGCUAACUUCGUG
rnacentral:rRNA from 1 species